GGUGGAGUCGUGGGACUCCUUGAAGGAGAAGCGGGCGCCACUCUUGCUACCCAGCUCCAGCCACUUCCCCUUGAACCACUUGAUGGUCGGUUUGUCCGGGAGCUCUUUCCCGUUCACCUUGGCCACGACCACCGCGUCCUUCCCUACAUGGGCUACAGUAGGGGCUGGACCCACCCCACAGCCUGCUUGGCCUGAUGCCAGCGGACCAGACAUCCCAGGAGGGGGUCCGCCCAGCGGUGCAUGAUUCCUGCGGGAGCGUCCAGCCAAUCCGGCGUCAGCUCCAUGUGAUGUCACGUGUUGCCAGGCAGACUGCCACUGCGCUCCCGCGAGCCCCGCUAAGUUGGGGAGGGGCCCAGGCCUUCAGUGCCGCGGCCACCUGAAGCCUCGCGUCCCUCGCCGCCAGCCCGAGGGCUCAAUUCAGAGGGAAAGGGACAGAGACCCAGACGGAAGGGGAAGCGGGGAGGAGGUGGAGAACUUCAGUUGGCAGGAAGAGAGGAAGACAUAAA